rnacentral:tRNA from 1 species
GCUCGGAUGGCAGAAUCAGGCAAUGCGCACCAUGAAAAAUGGGUAGAAUCGCCUGCAGAGCGAGAGAUUGUGGGUUCAAAUCCCACUCCGAGCU